CGGCCACACUGGAACUGAGACACGGUCCAGACACCUACGGGUGGCAGCAGUCGAGAAUCAUUCACAAUGGGGGCAACCCUGAUGGUGCGACGCCGCGUGGGGGAAUGAAGGUCUUCGGAUUGUAAACCCCUGUCAUGUGGGAGCAAAUUAAAAAGAUAGUACCACAAGAGGAAGAGACGGCUAACUCUGUGCCAGCAGCCGCGGUAAUACAGAGGUCUCAAGCGUUGUUCGGAAUCACUGGGCGUAAAGCGUGCGUAGGCUGUUUCGUAAGUCGUGUGUGAAAGGCAGGGGCUCAACCCCUGGAUUGCACAUGAUACUGCGAGACUAGAGUAAUGGAGGGGGAACCGGAAUUCUCGGUGUAGCAGUGAAAUGCGUAGAUAUCGAGAGGAACACUCGUGGCGAAGGCGGGUUCCUGGACAUUAACUGACGCUGAGGCACGAAGGCCAGGGGAGCGAAAGGGAUUAGAUACCCCUGUAGUCCUGGCAGUAAACGGUGCACGCUUGGUGUGCGGGGAAUCGACCCCCUGCGUGCCGGAGCUAACGCGUUAAGCGUGCCGCCUGGGGAGUACGGUCGCAAGAUUAAAACUCAAAGAAAUUGACGGGGACCCGCACAAGCGGUGGAGUAUGUGGCUUAAUUCGAUGCAACGCGAAGAACCUUACCUGGGCUUGACAUGUAAUGAACAACAUGUGAAAGCAUGCGACUCUUCGGAGGCGUUACACAGGUGCUGCAUGGCCGUCGUCAGCUCGUGUCGUGAGAUGUUUGGUUAAGUCCAGCAACGAGCGCAACCCCUGUUGCCAGUUACCAUCGAGUAAUGUCGGGGACUCUGGCGAGACUGCCCAGAUCAACUGGGAGGAAGGUGGGGACGACGUCAGGUCAGUAUGGCCCUUAUGCCCAGGGCUGCACACGUACUACAAUGCCCAGUACAGAGGGGGCCGAAGCCGCGAGGCGGAGGAAAUCCUGAAAACUGGGCCCAGUUCGGACUGUAGGCUGCAACCCGCCUACACGAAG
rnacentral:rRNA from 1 species